CUCAGAGACCUUCUAAUUUCUAUCGGUAAUGUUAGCAAGUUGUAUGGAAAAAGACUAAAUAAACUACACUUUUGUCUUAAGCAAGCAGUAGGCGGCAGGUGAAACAUUUAUUAGUCUACCUACACCCUCUGACUAGCAUCAGACUGGCAAAUAUGUAAUCGUAAGAUCCAUGAAAGGCCAGCGUGAGACUUAAAAGAGACUAUAGGUCCCCAUCACAAAGCUAGACUUAAAUUUACACUAAAUCCAAAUAAUUUCAGAAGCGCAAGUAUAAAACAGAAUAUGCACUAAACCCUCUUCCAGGUCACUAGAUUACACUUUUUGGGCUGGUGGGUGAAUGCUUACAGUUAGUGACCAUCCCUCCGUGAUCUCCCACUCUCAGGCGAGUGAUGUCUUUUCAGUUCACCAUCCAAAUGUGCUCCGGAAAGAGGUUUUAGCUUUUCUUCUCUUUUCUCCAGUUGCUGGGAGACCUAAGUCUUGACUGAGUCGCCACAGUUUCUCCAGAGCGACUGUAGGAGUGCUGAUGACGUCUCAGCUGUUUCACGAUUGGCCAGAUUCACCGCAUGACAACGAUCACGUGUGUUUAGGUGAGGGGCUACUGGCUGACAGCGUCCUGUAAUUUCUGAGAGAUUUACCUGCCAUUCUUCUGGAAAACUGCUGUUCUUUAAAGAACAGUGAUCAAUCAGAAUUCUCUGUUCCCACACCCAACCAUUCCUCUGAAGGAAUGUGAAAAUAUGAACCCGUUGAACUGCUGGUGACAGUUUUCACAUGAUUAGUUGGAAGUGCGUGGCAAAGAAUGUUAGGGGUAUUGCUAUUUCACUGAAAUUAGCCUGCUGUACUCACUGUUUCAUGCAUACAGUUGUUGUCAAACUUUUACAUCACAUUGCAGAAUAAUAAAGUUAUAUGAUAAGUUUUUAUUUUUUAUAUUAUUAUAUUUCUACAGGAUCCUCUGUUCCCAGACCCAACCAUUCAUCUGAAGGAAUGUUAAAAUAUGAACCCGUUGAACUACUGGUGACAGUUUCCACAUGAUUAAUUGAAAGGGCGUGGAAAAGGAUGUUAGGGGUAUUGCUAUUUCACUGAAAUUAGCCUGCUGUACUCACUGUUACACGCAUACAGUUGUUGUCAAAAGUUUACUAAUCACAAUACAGAAUGAUAAAGUUAUAUAGUAAGCUUUUUAAUUAUUAUUAUUUAGGACUGGCCCGAUGAAGUAAUUUAAUUUAAAAUAUGUUUAGUCUUCAAUUUAGAAUAAUAGCUGAUU